GAAGCGAACCUGCGAAGGCAAGCGGAUCUCUUAAAGCCGUUCUCAGUUCGGACUGUAGGCUGCAACUCGCCUACACGAAGCUGGAAUCGCUAGUAAUCGCGGAUCAGCACGCCGCGGUGAAUGCGUUCCCGGGCCUUGUACACACCGCCCGUCACACCAUGAGAGUCUGUAACACCCAAAGCCGGUGGGAUAACCUUUAUAGGAGUCAGCCGUCUAAGGUAGGACAGAUGAUUAGGGUGAAGUCGUAACAAGGUAAC
rnacentral:rRNA from 1 species